rnacentral:lncRNA from 1 species
CUGGAGGAGGGUUAACAGACAGUCCUCUACUCUAUAUUCACCAUGCUCUAGUCUAGACUACUGGAGGAGGGUUAACAGACAGUCAGUCCUCUACUCUAUAUUUCACCAUGCUCAUGCUAGUCUAGAUCCUGGAGGAGUGGUUAACAGACAGUCAGUCCUCUACUCUCUAUUCACCAUGCUCUGUCUAGUCUA